rnacentral:rRNA from 1 species
GAAGCGAGGCUGUGAAGCGGAGCAAAUCUCAAAAACCGGUACCCAGUUCGGAUUGUAGGCUGCAACUCGCCUACAUGAAGUCGGAGUUGCUAGUAAUCGCGGAUCAGAAUGCCGCGGUGAAUGCGUUCCCGGGUCUUGUACACACCGCCCGUCACACCAUGGAAGUUGGGGCGCCGAAGUUGCCUAAGAAAUAAGGUACCUAAGGCGAAACCAAUGACUGGGGUAAAGUCGUAACAAGGUAUC